rnacentral:misc_RNA from 1 species
GAUGAAGAACGUAGCGAAACGCGAUAAGUAAUGUGAAUUGCAGAAUCCAGUGAAUCAUCGAAUCUUUGAACGCACAUUGCGCCCGCCAGCAUUCUGGCGGGCAUGCCUGUUCGAGCGUCAUUUCAACCCUCGACCUCCCCUUGGGGAGGUCGGCGUUGGGGACCGGCAGCACACCGCCGGCCCUGAAAUGGAGUGGCGGCCCGUCCGCGGCGACCUCUGCGCAGUAAUACAGCUCGCACCGGGACCCCGACGCGGCCACGCCGUAAAACACCCAACUUCUGAACGUUGACCUCGAAUCAGGUAGGACUACCCGCUGAACUUAAGCAUAUCAAUAAGCGGAGA